rnacentral:piRNA from 1 species
UGAUAAGCUAAUGUCAGGUGGCCAGUGU